rnacentral:rRNA from 1 species
GACGAACGCUGGCGGCGUGCUUAACACAUGCAAGUCGAACGGAAAGGCCCUGCUUUUGUGGGGUGCUCGAGUGGCGAACGGGUGAGUAACACGUGAGUAACCUGCCCUUGACUUUGGGAUAACUUCAGGAAACUGGGGCUAAUACCGGAUAGGAGCUCCUGCUGCAUGGUGGGGGUUGGAAAGUUUCGGCGGUUGGGGAUGGACUCGCGGCUUAUCAGCUUGUUGGUGGGGUAGUGGCUUACCAAGGCUUUGACGGGUAGCCGGCCUGAGAGGGUGACCGGCCACAUUGGGACUGAGAUACGGCCCAGACUCCUACGGGAGGCAGCAGUGGGGAAUAUUGCACAAUGGGCGGAAGCCUGAUACAGCAACGCCGCGUGCGGGAUGACGGCCUUCGGGUUGUAAACCGCUUUCGCCUGUGACGAAGCGUGAGUGAUGGUAAUGGGUAAAGAAGCACCGGCUAACUACGUG